rnacentral:tRNA from 1 species
GUCCAGGGUAGCCUAGUGGACAUGGCAUCUGCCCGGUAAGCGGAACACUGUGGGUUCGAUUCCCAACCUUGGACA